rnacentral:tRNA from 1 species
GCUUGGGUGGCUCAGUCGGUUAAGUGUCUGACUUCAGCUCAGGUCAUGAUCUCACUGUUGGCAGGUUCAAGCCCUGUGUCAGGCU